AACAUUCUUGGGUCACCAGGAGAAACACUGAUGCUGCAGUGCCAGAGUGAGACGAAGCUGUGCUAGCUAGCACCUGUCAUGGCGUUAAGCCAUCCCAUACCCACCAGAACAGGACUCGCUGGCGGUCUCUGACAAGAUCAGCCUGUAACAGGUUUGAGCAGGAUUGACAAAAUCAUCUACGGGCGGCAUGUGAAAGGCGCCACAGAGCUGCAUCAUCAAACACCACAAAUACAGACUUCCCGUGCGCUGAGUGCGGCCGACUCUGUGCAUCAGGCUUCGGAGUCAUAUGCAUAGCCAUAGAGAAGAACUGGGACAAUAUCGUCAUCAGCGAUGGACUACCAACACCCACCAGAUUCAGCUUGAAGUGGAAGGGCCGAAGCAUUGUAAAGAAAGUCAGUACUUGUACAUUCUAGCCCGACGAAGAGCAAGAAGCAUAAAUCUCCUGAGAAGACUGCAAGGGUGAGAUUUCCACUCCACUUCUGGAGAAGCAAGAUGUUUGGCUCAAGUUCAGAGCAUCCAUACCUGAAGCCAGAAGAGCCACCUGUCAAGGGAAUGAAGACUGCUCCAGGUUGCAGUGGAUGUGGGAAACCAGCAGCAUCUACAUGGAGAAUUAGGGAAACAUCUGCCCAACAUGGGAUCCCUAGGGAAUCUUUCCAUCAUCUCCUGAGUGAUCCCACAGAGUCUUCCCCCACCUUGUUCGUGGUGAAUGUUGCUUUUGGGACCUCAUUUGCAGGCAGCAUUGUGCUGUGGCCCAGGUUAUCCUUCAGGCUCCAGCAAAAGAUACUUGGCAGGAUUAGGCUGAUGAAGACCCCCUCCCCCAAUCACAGAGAGAUAACAGUACCUCAAAGAGAAGAAGCUGACCAGACAACAGACAGAUCGUGUCCCGAGCAGAACCAUCUCUCAGCGACCUCUGCUGUCCCCUCCACCUCCUGAUACCACUUCGCACAGUGGGACCCCUGGAUCCCUCUCGGCAGGUAUUAUUGCUUGGCAACUCAGCCUGCAACCCAUCAAUUGCAGCCGGGCCACAAGGCAA